rnacentral:rRNA from 1 species
CUACGUAGGUGGCAAGCGUUGUCCGGAAUUAUUGGGCGUAAAGCGCGCGCAGGCGGUCCUUUAAGUCUGAUGUGAAAGCCCACGGCUCAACCGUGGAGGGUCAUUGGAAACUGGGGGACUUGAGUGCAGAAGAGGAAAGUGGAAUUCCAAGUGUAGCGGUGAAAUGCGUAGAGAUUUGGAGGAACACCAGUGGCGAAGGCGACUUUCUGGUCUGUAACUGACGCUGAGGCGCGAAAGCGUGGGGAGCAAACAGGAUUAGAUACCCUGGUAGUCCACGCCGUAAACGAUGAGUGCUAAGUGUUGGGGGGUUUCCGCCCCUCAGUGCUGCAGCUAACGCAUUAAGCACUCCGCCUGGGGAGUACGGUCGCAAGACUGAAACUCAAAUGAAUUGGCGGGG